CCCUGCCAUUUGUACACACCGCCCGUCGCUACUACCGAUUGGAAGUUUUAGUGAGGCAUCUGGACUUGCCGUCCAAGGGAGGGGCAACCUUUCCAGGAACGGCGGGGAAGUUUGUCGAACUCAAAUUUCUAGAG
rnacentral:rRNA from 1 species